AAAUUGAAGAGUUUGAUCAUGGCUCAGAUUGAACGCUGGCGGCAGGCCUAACACAUGCAAGUCGAACGGUAACAGGAAGCAGCUUGCUGCUUCGCUGACGAGUGGCGGACGGGUGAGUAAUGUCUGGGAAACUGCCUGAUGGAGGGGGAUAACUACUGGAAACGGUGGCUAAUACCGCAUAACGUCGCAAGACCAAAGAGGGGGACCUUCGGGCCUCUUGCCAUCAGAUGUGCCCAGAUGGGAUUAGCUUGUUGGUGAGGUAAUGGCUCACCAAGGCGACGAUCCCUAGCUGGUCUGAGAGGAUGACCAGCCACACUGGAACUGAGACACGGUCCAGACUCCUACGGGAGGCAGCAGUGGGGAAUAUUGCACAAUGGGCGCAAGCCUGAUGCAGCCAUGCCGCGUGUAUGAAGAAGGCCUUCGGGUUGUAAAGUACUUUCAGCGGGGAGGAAGGUGUUGCGGUUAAUAACCGCAGCAAUUGACGUUACCCGC
rnacentral:rRNA from 1 species